GACGAACGCUGGCGGCGUGCCUAAUACAUGCAAGUAGAACGCUGAAGGAGGAGCUUGCUUCUCUGGAUGAGUUGCGAACGGGUGAGUAACGCGUAGGUAACCUGCCUGGUAGCGGGGGAUAACUAUUGGAAACGAUAGCUAAUACCGCAUAAGAGUAGAUGUUGCAUGACAUUUGCUUAAAAGGUGCAAUUGCAUCACUACCAGAUGGACCUGCGUUGUAUUAGCUAGUUGGUGGGGUAACGGCUCACCAAGGCGACGAUACAUAGCCGACCUGAGAGGGUGGUCGGCCACACUGGGACUGAGACACGGCCCAGACUCCUACGGGAGGCAGCAGUAGGGAAUCUUCGGCAAUGGACGGAAGUCUGACCGAGCAACGCCGCGUGAGUGAAGAAGGUUUUCGGAUCGUAAAGCUCGGUUGUAAGAGAAGAAAGAGUGUGAGAGUGGAAAGUUCACACUGUGACGGUAUCUUACCAGAAAGGGACGGCUAACUACGUG
rnacentral:rRNA from 1 species